GUCGAGCGGACUUAAAAAGCUUGCUUUUUAAGUUAGCGGCGGACGGGUGAGUAACACGUGGGCAACCUGCCUGUAAGACUGGGAUAACUUCGGGAAACCGGAGCUAAUACCGGAUAAUCCUUUCCUACUCAUGUAGGAAAGCUGAAAGACGGUUUACGCUGUCACUUACAGAUGGGCCCGCGGCGCAUUAGCUAGUUGGUGAGGUAACGGCUCACCAAGGCGACGAUGCGUACCCGACCUGAGAGGGUGAUCGGCCACACUGGGACUGAGACACGGCCCAGACUCCUACGGGAGGCAGCAGUAGGGAAUCUUCCGCAAUGGACGAAAGUCUGACGGAGCAACGCCGCGUGAGUGAUGAAGGUUUUCGGAUCGUAAAACUCUGUUGUUAGGGAAGAACAAGUACGAGAGUAACUGCUCGUACCUUGACGGUACCUAACCAGAAAGCCACGGCUAACUACGUGCCAGCAGCCGCGGUAAUACGUAGGUGGCAAGCGUUGUCCGGAAUUAUUGGGCGUAAAGCGCGCGCAGGCGGUCCUUUAAGUCUGAUGUGAAAGCCCACGGCUCAACCGUGGAGGGUCAUUGGAAACUGGGGGACUUGAGUGCAGAAGAGAAGAGUGGAAUUCCACGUGUAGCGGUGAAAAUGCGUAGAGAUGUGGAGGAACACCAGUGGCGAAGGCGACUCUUUGGUCUGUAACUGACGCUGAGGCGCGAAAGCGUGGGGAGCAAACAGGAAUAUAUACCC
rnacentral:rRNA from 2 species